rnacentral:tRNA from 1 species
UGUUUAAAAAAGGUAUAAAACACUACGUUCUUGAUCAUAGAAAAGGGGUUCGAUUCCCCUAGGGACCGCCA